UCUGAGGUAAAUAUUCUUUUCAUUUAUACCUUUAUGAUGUCUAUUUUUUUGUUCAAAGUUAAUCUCAUUGCAAAGGUACAGUACAAUACACCACCAUAUCUAAUCUGACAAUGUUAACUUCACUAAUUAGUUUAAUUU